AUUGAACGCUGGCGGCAUGCUUUACACAUGCAAGUCGAACGGUAACAGGCCGCAAGGUGCUGACGAGUGGCGAACGGGUGAGUAAUGCAUCGGAACGUGCCCAGUCGUGGGGGAUAACGCAGCGAAAGCUGUGCUAAUACCGCAUACGAUCUGUGGAUGAAAGCGGGGGACCGUAAGGCGUCGCGCGAUUGGAGCGGCCGAUGACAGAUUAGGUAGUUGGUGGGGUAAAGGCUCACCAAGCCGACGAUAUGUAGCUGGUCUGAGAGGACGACCAGCCACACUGGGACUGAGACACGGCCCAGACUCCUACGGGAGGCAGCAGUGGGGAAUUUUGGACAAUGGGCGCAAGCCUGAUCCAGCAAUGCCGCGUGCAGGAAGAAGGCCUUCGGGUUGUAAACUGCUUUUGUACGGAGCGAAAAGGCUCCCUCUAAUACAGGGGGCUCAUGACGGUACCGUAAGAAUAAGCACCGGCUAACUACGUGCCAGCAGCCGCCGCGGUAA
rnacentral:rRNA from 1 species